rnacentral:rRNA from 1 species
UACGGAGGGGGGCUAGCGUUGUUCGGAAUUACUGGGCGUAAAGCGCACGUAGGCGGAUUGCUAAGUCAGGGGUGAAAUCCUGGAGCUCAACUCCAGAACUGCCUUUGAUACUGGCGAUCUCGAGUCCGGGAGAGGUGAGUGGAACUGCGAGUGUAGAGGUGAAAUUCGUAGAUAUUCGCAAGAACACCAGUGGCGAAGGCGGCCCACUGGCCCGGUACUGGACGCUGAGG